AGUGAACGCUGGCGGUAGGCCUAACACAUGCAAGUCGAACGGCAGCACAGUAAGAGCUUGCUCUUGCGGGUGGCGAGUGGCGGACGGGUGAGGAAUACAUCGGAAUCUACUUUUUCGUGGGGGAUAACGUAGGGAAACUUACGCUAAUUCCGCAUACGACCUACGGGUGAAAGCAGGGGAUCUUCGGACCUUGCGCGAUUGAAUGAGCCGAUGUCGGAUUAGCUAGUUGGCGGGGUAAAGGCCCACCAAGGCGACGAUCCGUAGCUGGUCUGAGAGGAUGAUCAGCCACACUGGAACUGAGACACGGUCCAGACUCCUACGGGAGGCAGCAGUGGGGAAUAUUGGACAAUGGGCGCAAGCCUGAUCCAGCCAUACCGCGUGGGUGAAGAAGGCCUUCGGGUUGUAAAGCCCUUUUGUUGGGAAAGAAAAGCAGCAGGUUAAUACCCCGCUGUUCUGACGGUACCCAAAGAAUAAGCACCGGCUAACUUCGUG
rnacentral:rRNA from 1 species